rnacentral:rRNA from 1 species
CCUACGGGAGGCAGCAGUGGGGAAUAUUGCACAAUGGGGGAAACCCUGAUGCAGCGACGCCGCGUGAGUGAAGAAGUAUCUCGGUACGUAAAGCUCUAUCAGCAGGGAAGAAAAUGACGGUACCUGACUAAGAAUCCCCUGCUAACUACGUUCCAGCAGCCGCGGUAAUACGUAGGGGGCAAGCGUUAUCCGGAUUUCAUGUGGGUAGAGGGGGCGUAAACGGUAGCACAAGUCUGAAGUGAAAUCCCGGGGCUUAACCCCGGAAUUGCUUUGGAAACUGUGCGGCUGGAGUGCAGGGGGGGUAAGCGGAAUUCCUAGUGUAGCGGUGAAAUGCGUAGAUAUUAGGAGGAACACCGGUGGCGAAGGCGGCUUACUGGGCUGUAACUGACGUUGAGGCUCGAAAGCGUGGGGAGCAAACAGGAUUAGAUACCCCAGUAGUC